rnacentral:rRNA from 1 species
AUUGAACGCUGGCGGCAUGCCUUACACAUGCAAGUCGAGGGGUAGAGUUCUUCGGGACUUGAGACCGGCGCACGGGUGCGUAACGCGUAUGCAAUCUACCUUAUACAGGGGAAUAGCCCAGAGAAAUUUGGAUUAAUGCCCCAUAGUGUUAUCGAAUCGCAUGGGUUUGAUAACUAAAAGUUCCAACGGUAUAAGAUGAGCAUGCGUCCCAUUAGUUAGUUGGUAAGGUAACGGCUUACCAAGACAAUGAUGGGUAGGGGUCCUGAGAGGGAGAUCCCCCACACUGGUACUGAGACACGGACCAGACUCCUACGGGAGGCAGCAGUGAGGAAUAUUUGGGUCAAAUGGGGCCGCGAAGCCUCGAACCAGCCAUGCCGCGUGCAGGAAGAC